ACUUAAAUAGUUUAAAUCAAAAAUUUUAAUUUGUGGAAUUAAAGAUAUGAAAUUUUCAUUUUAGGUAAUU
rnacentral:tRNA from 1 species